UAGGAUUCCCGUGUGUAUUCGUGUUAAUAAUGGUAGUUUUGGCCGAUUGCCAUGGUUAGUGAAUC
rnacentral:ncRNA from 1 species